UACGGGGGGGGCAAGCGUUGUUCGGAAUUACUGGGCGUAAAGGGCUCGUAGGCGGCCAACUAAGUCGGAUGUGAAAUCCCCAGGCUUAACCUGGGAACUGCAUCCGAUACUGGAUGGCUUGAAUCCGGGAGAGGGAUGCAGAAUUCCAGGUGUAGCGGUGAAAUGCGUAGAUAUCAGGAGGAAUACCGGUGGCGAAGGCGGCAUCCUGGACCGGCAUUGACGCUGAUGAGCGAAAGCUAGGGGAGCAAACGGG
rnacentral:rRNA from 1 species